rnacentral:rRNA from 1 species
AAUGAACGCUGGCGGCAGGCCUAACACAUGCAAGUCGAACGGAUCCUUCGGGAUUAGUGGCGGACGGGUGCGUAACGCGUAAGAACUUACCUUUUGGUGGGGGAUAACAAUGGGAAACUGUUGCUAAUACCCCAUAAUGCUGAGGAGCUAAAAGUGAAAACUGCCAAGAGAGAGGCUUGCGUCUGAUUAGCUAGUUGGUGGGGGUAAAGGCCUCCCAAGGCGACGAUCAGUAGCUGGUCUGAGAGGAUGAUCAGCCACACUGGGACUGAGACACGGCCCAGACUCCUACGGGAGGCAGCAGUGAAGAAUUUUCCGCAAUGGGCGAAAGCCUGACGGAGCAAUACCGCGUGAAGGAAGAAGGUCCGUGGAUCGUAAACUUCUUUUCUCAAGGAAGAAUCAAUGCCGGUACUUGAGGAAUAAGCACCGGCUAACUCUGUGCCAGCCGCCGCCGUAA